GCCGACUACCGGCGCCGUGUCCCCUCAUUCGUGUGGCUUAUGUUACUGUUGCCUUUAAGUGCUUGCGUGCUGGUACCCGACCAACGGGAAGUGGUUCGUCAUACACGGUUGCCUCGCGGUGGACGCCUCCGGGUGUGCUGCUGCGGCCAAAUGGCGCUUGCGGCGUUGCCUCGUGGCGCUGUCACGUUUUCGUGCCUAGUGCUAUCAGGCCAGCCUCGCUCCCGCUUUUGGUUUCGGAUGUCGCUAACGAUAAAAGCUCAUGGCMCUUUUGGUUGCCUUGAACUGACCCUAAAUAUGCCUCCCUCGUUGAGAACAACAGCGUUCCUCAACUCGUAGGUGGAUAUUGGCCCGCUCAAUUGCGACAACUGGCCCGGCGGUUGCCUCUGCCUUUCCACGCAAGUGGACGGGCGAGCAACUGGUGGCGCUGGACGUCAAAGAGGACGUGCUACCUGGUUGAUCCUGCCAGUAGUC
rnacentral:misc_RNA from 1 species